GGUAGUCCACGGUUCGCCUCCAAGUCUGAAUGUCGUUUAACAGGCACAUCGAUUAUUUUCAACGCGAAAUCGAUUUUAAUGUGCAGCUGUAUGAACAACCCGAAAUAUUAUUCUCUGUGAGUCGGAGUGAUUGUUACCGAGGGCUGUGAAGUGAAAGUAUAGUAAUGACGUUAUUUGCCUUACCGGCAUCGAGUUAUAUGAUACAAGAAAGAUUUAAAAAUAUUGAUUCGUCAAAGAGUAUGCCUUCCUUGAUAUUUCGAAACCGCGGUGACGGGGCGUCUCUGAGCGCUCCCGGCAGCAAGCGCUCAGCUCUGUCGGCUUCGGACGCCGAGUGUUUCUCGCUGUGCCUGGGCGCCGGGCCUCUGUGGUGGUCCUGAUGUCCCUGCUCACGGCUCUGCACCGCCCGGAGGGGUGACCGGCGGGGCUGCGAGCCCCGCUACCCCGGCCACCCCCAACCACGACGACAAUCGCGACUUGCUAAGUGCCCUGCUAUGGUCAAGCUCCAGCUCUUUGGCCAGCAGCGCCGAGAGUCUCCAUGAUGGCCAAGCGUCUCCGCAACAGCUACAACUACAACAACAAGUUGUGAAUAAGAUCUUGGAGCGCAAGGACAAGCACCCCGUUAAAAUUGAGUUCAAGAUUUAUCUCACCGAGAACACAGUUAUACGUUGGGAGGCUGUUGUGCACAACAACAUGAUGUACCUCCGCGUGCCCGGGGUCCUGCAGUCCGGCAGCAAGGACAGCUUCAUGCUGCUCCUGGAUUUCGCUGAAGAGCGUCUCGGCUGUAAGAGUUGCAUCAUCUGCGUUUUGAAGAGUCGUCCCGACCGCGCUACCCUGCUGCGCACCUUCAUGUUCAUGGGAUUCCAAGUUCUGGCUCCGAAUUCGCCGCUGACCCCACAGCACAUCAACAACCCUAAUUACAUUUUCUUACACUACAAUAUGCAGUAAAAUUUUAUUCACAAACAAAGCUUCUUCUCGGGUGAGAAACUAACAAAAAAAAACAACUUUCUCAUUUUUUCCACAAAAAUAAUCGUGUUUUUUUCGUAUGGCAACAUUAGAUUAUCCACGACUCGUUCAAGUCAAGCACUUAGAGAUCCUUUCUAAAUCAGUAUUCAAAAUGCACAUUUAAAAUUUAAAUACAUGAUAAAGGGCUUUCUUAGCACAGUUCGCGUUUAAUGAUUUUAUUAAACUAGAUUAUUCUAUAUUACUUAGAUUAAAAAAAAAAAUGUAAAAAAAAGAAAAAAAAAAGAGAAAAUACUUUUAUUUGUUUGGAGCUUGAAACUAAAACAUUGAUAUUUGUGAAUUUAUUUAAAAAAAAAAACAGAUUUGCAUCUAAUCUAAUAGAUAGUCUAUUAACCUGAGUCAUUCUAGUGAGGUGUAUUAAGACCAGGCAAUAAAGCCAUCAAAUUUCUUUGAAACACUACUACAUUGGCCAAAAGAUUGAAUAAAUUGUCAAGCCUCACCAGCUUUCAAUACUGGGUGUAGAACUAGAAAUUUCUAAUAAUUAUUUCCUAGAAUUUCAAAGCCAAAGGAAUAAAAGUUAACUUUCUAUUCUCUCAAUGACAUUUGUAUGUGUGAAAUUGAAAAAUUUCAACUUCCAAAUACUCAUUGCGGGAUUUAAAUAUAAUUUUUCAAUUAUUAUUUUUCUUUCAUUUAUUAUUAUGAUUGUUAAUUAUUUCGUGUUUCCGUCGUCGUGUAAAAUGUCACCCCAACCG